UCAGCAUUCGGAAGGAAAGGGUAAUGUCUACCAUCAGCUUCUUAUGCUUUCAUUGUUACUCCUGCUGGUUCAGGGGGUCAUGGGCAGAGAUGGCGGCAUCUGCCAUCCCGCGUACGGCUAGAAAGCCAGUGAUGCUAACAAGGCAGUGAAACACUGUUUAUAGAAAGCAGUGCAAGUGCUGAUGGAUUCUGCUGCUGUUGCCAUGAGUAAAUGGCCUG